CCCCCGCCGCCCCCACGACCGGGCAAUUGGCUGGGCUGUGGACCUCGAGGUAGCCCUUCCCGGACUUUGGUCCCGGGCUGCCCCUGAUCAGCAGGGCGGCCUCCGCGCGCAGGAAGCUGGAGGCCGGAUGGGGGCGCCCCUCCUCUCCGCGGGGUUCGGGCUCAGAGCCACUGCACGUGCUGGGGCUCCCCGCAAACGUGCGUGGUCCCCUGUCCCCAGACUCUGCGCCCUGCACCCCAGGUGAGGCUCCCGAAGACGGACUGCGAUGAGAGGAACGCGAGUUUGGAAAUCAGAGCACAGCAUUUCUUUCUGGAAUAAUGUUUGGCACCAAAACAACUCAAACCAUAUUAUUUGUAAUUAAUCUAGAGGAGAGGUAAACAGCGACUGGUGAAGGAACAAGGAUCCAUGAUAGCCUAGGUGUUGUAAGUUGGUCAAAAAGAUGCCACGGGGUUCCUGGCUGGCUCAGUCAGUAGAGCAUGCGGCUCUUGAGUUCAGGGUUGUGAAUUUGAGCCCCAUGUUGGGUGUAGACUUGAAAAUACAUGUAGUCAUGUAGACAUGACUUGAAAAUAAAAUCUUAAAAAAAAAAAAAGAUGUCACAAUAACUCCUUCUCUUCUUGAAUCCAUACACCUUGCAGUGUGACUUUGCCACUCGUCCCAUCAAAGAUGAGUGUGCUUCCACAACCAUGGCACAUAGCUGGAGUUUGAAAAUCUCCACUCUGAGAGCCCCUGUUAUUGAAAAGGAGAUCAAGUCUUUCAUGUUUCUGUAAUUAUUGCUAUGUUUAUACAUACUCCUGACAUCUUAUUACCUGUUUUCUAAUUGCCACGAUAUGUUAGUUUCCUAUUGCUGUUAAAACAAAUUACUACAAACUUAGCAGGGCUUACAAUGAUGUUUGUUACACUUCUGUCUGUCAGAAGUCUGAAUGGGUCUUUUUGGCUAAAAUUAAAGUAUUGUCAGAGCUGUAUUGUCUUCUGGGGGCUCGAGGAAAGAACCUGUUUUUCUUGUCUUUCCCAGCUUCUAGAAGCCACCUUCGUUCUUUAGCUCAAGUCCCUUCCUCCAUUGCUUCAGGGCACCACUCUUUAUCACACCUCUCUCCUGCCUCCCUCUUUCCCUUAUAAGAACAUUUGUGAUUACAUUGGGCCCAUCUCUAAUCAGGAUGGUCCUUUCCUCUCUAAUCCCUUGGUAUAAUCACACCGCACAAGUCCCUUUUAUCAUGUUAGGGUGACAUAGUCACAGAUUCUGGGGAUUAGGACAUGGAGGUCUUUGGAAGGGGGAGUGGAUGGGCGGAUGCGGCGUUAUUCUGUCUACACACAUCCCUCCUCCUUGUUUUCUUCUUUUUUUUCCUCCCUCUUUCUUUCGGAGUUUAUCAGGAUGCUCAUGGCUGUGAGUAAUAGUAACCCCAGUUAAACAGUGGCUUAACCAAUAGAAAGUUACAGGCUCGUAUACCUGGAUAUCUGAUGGGAGAAUGGUCCGUGAUGGGACCAACCGUGUCAUCAUGGAUCUGCUUCUUUCCAUCCUCCAGAUCUGCUCUCUGCAGCAUCAGCUUUAUCCCAAGGCUGCUGCUUUGAGGGGUCAAGGGAUGUAAAGUAUCCGUAGCUUUUCCUGUAGACCAGGGGUUCCCGACCUUGGCACCACUGAUUUUGGGGGCUGAAUGGUUUUUGUGGGGGGCUGUCCUUUGCAUUCUAGGAUAUUUAGCACAUCCAUGGUUCCUCUCCCUUGGAUGCCAGAGUUCUUCUCCAGUUGGGACAAUCGAAAAUGUCUCCAGACAUUGCCCAAUAUCUGUGGGAGUCAAAAUUGUUCCCCAGGGGACUCCUGGGUGGCUCAGCAGUUAAGCAUCUGCCUUUGGCU